AACACAUGAACAGUGCAGCAUUUGACUUGUUUUCUGCUCCAACCAGCCCUCCCCAACAUCCUAAUCCCACUAAUCCCGCCUCCGCCACUGCAGGCAUGCCGGCCUUUUCUUAAUUGCUAUACUUUUGAGGACGCAUCACUAAAAAAACUAAAAGAGGUUUCAUGGCAAUGAUGGAGUGCUACCAAAUUAUGUUCCAAGAAAAAUGAUUUCUGCCUCAACUUGACUACAUGCAUGUUGAAUUGUCGACCCGAUUUGGCGGACUAUAUAAGUGCUCUUCUCCUUGGGAAUUUGAAAGCACAGCCCUUCUAAGCAUCACACAAUAUAUAGGCUUAUAUAUGUGGUGGCAGUCAUUGGUACAAGCAUGUGUGCAUUAGACCAGAAAAGGGUCACUUGGUUGUUUGAUGCGUUCGUGCUCGUCCGCGGGAUGGUGCAAGGCGCAACUCCAAUGCGGUUCCUCACCGGUUGGACGGUGUUCAGGCGCAACCCCGGUGCUCACUGAGUACUGCCUCGGCUACAACCUCCCACGGUGAGGUAAAAAACGACUACGAUCGGAUUCCCUGGCUCCUCAGCGAUUUGGGCCUCCUGGUCGUUAGAUUCGUUUGCUUGAUGUGAUUCCGGCCAUCGGAUUGAGCAGUGGGAUGACCUGCGCCGUCGGAUCAAUUCGUUGCUCCUGUCGCAAUGAAAGUCACUGUUUCCCUGGGUUUCGCUUACUCCGCCGUUUUGAGCGUAUUUCGCUGGCGUGUGGGGUUUCCAGCGUGUGGGCCGCCUUGUUCAGUGACUGUGGCUAUGUGUUUUGGUUGUGUGGCCCGUGGGGCGCGUGGGCUGGCAAAUAUCUUGUGCCACCGUAAGAAAUAACGUGCCCCCGUAGAGGGUAUUUUGGUCUUUUCACGUUUUGGCCUUGUGCGUGGUGGACAGUGGUUGGCACGUGCGUGGAUGAGGUGGGGGAGGGCACUGGCUUGCCCCUUCGUGCUCCCAUUCGCCCUUUCUCUCUGAAUCCCCUCUUCUCUCCCACAACCCUCUCUCUCGUGCUGGGGCGAUGAUGAUUAGCCGUGGUUGAAAAAAAAUGUGCCUUUGAGCAAUCGAGGCACCUGGGGAUAUCAAGUUGAAUCCUCCCUCUUGUCUCUAGAAUCAUUUUUGAUCAUGUGAUACUUGUUGCUCUG